rnacentral:rRNA from 1 species
CCCUUAGAUGUCCUGGGCCGCACGCGCGCUACACUGAGUGUCUGUGAUACGAGUCUGCCUGGUCCGGCAAGGUCUAGGUAAUCGCUAAAAGACACAUCAUGCUUGGGAUAGAUUAUUGCAAAUAUUAAUCUUGAACGAGGAAUUCCUAGUAAGCGCAAGUCAACAGCUUGCGUUGAUUACGUCCCUGCCCUUUGUACACACCGCCCGUCGCUACUACUGAUUGGAUGUUUAAGCGAGGUUCUCGAACUGCUAGCGACUUAGCUUCGGUGAGGUCGCAGUGUGGGAAGUGAACCUAGCUUUGGUGUCUAGAGGAAGUAAAAGUCGUAACA